rnacentral:rRNA from 1 species
GUGUUGUCGUUGAGGCGCAUGGUGGAUGCCUUGGCAUGCUGAGCCGAUGAAGGACGUGCUAGGCCGCGAUAGGCCUCGGGGAGUUGUCAAAGGAGCGUUGAUCCGAGGGUGUCCGAAUGGGGAAACCUACUGCCUGUUAUUGGGUGGUACCAGCUCGUGAAUGUAUAGCGGGUGUGGGGGUUACGCGGGGAAGUGAAACAUCUCAGUACCCGUAGGAGAAGGAAAUAAUAUUUUAUGAUUCUGCUAGUAGCGGCGAGCGAACGUGGAUGUGGCUAAACCGUGUGUGUGUGAUACGUGGCAGUGGUUGCGCAUGCGGUGUUGUUGGGAUUGAUGUGUCUGGGUCUGCCAGCCUGGAGCAUGGCUGCGACAGUUAGGUGAACUGGCCUGGGAUGGU